rnacentral:lncRNA from 1 species
AAAGAUGUCAUAUUAUCUAGUAGAAUUUGGAAUCCAAAUUUUUUCAUGCUUUUAUCUAACACACUUACACAGGACUUAAUGAAAACAACUCACAAGAACACCAUGCGUUUACACUUACAAAGAAUCUUACUACUUUGAGAAUGUAAUUUUUGGGGGAAAAGAAAGCAAAUUUGACUUCAUUGAAGUUAUUUAUUAUUCUUCUAACUCUCCUGGAAAUAGUAGAAAACUUUUUCCUCUUAGGUAAUUUGGUGAGUAGCUUGAAACCAUAAACCAGCCACUUGAAGUUCUUAAGAAAGUAAGGAGGGGCUCCUGGUGAGAUUAUUUGGGGCUACAU